UGUUUUGGCAUAGAAAAUUACACAAAGCAUAUAUAGUGCAAAAUAAACAAUUACACAAAUAUAUUUGAUUGUUAGUUUCUCUAUGUUGAAUAUAAAUAUCAAAGCAAUUAGAUCUUUGUGCUUCGUUGAACUAUUUCCCAUUAUUUAAACGAUGGUGAUGACACAGGGACGAGGAGGAGCCAUUAGAGCCUGAGAUUGAGGUAACAUGUUUCUCAUUCUUUCUACUCUUAUCCUUUUAGUUUUUGGAAUUUAAUGGAUUUAUGGAUUGAUCGAUGGAUUGUUACACUCCUAAAAGGGGUAGUUUAGCUGAUAAUUUAUUUGUGUUUCUAGUAUGAUUUGGUGUUUGUUCAGUGCAGAUGGAAUUGUAAUCUACGCCCAUGUGAUUUUAAAAUGGAGAAGCUCGUCUUAAGUUAUUUUCAAACUUUUAGCCUUGUAGGUGUAUGCACAACUUUAACCUCAGGUAACAACCUCACAAUUUUGGGAUAUUCUUCUACUUGUUGAGAAGAUUUGCUUGUAAGUUGAGUUUUUGUACGUGGUAUUGUAUCUUACAAGGUUACAUUGAAGUUCCAGAGAUUGAGUGAUGUUCUUUAUCAUACAAUAUCACAAUGUAUUGCACUUCCAACAUUAAUUGUAUAUCAAUUUUAAAAGGCAAUAGUGUGAGAUUCCUUUUUAACAAAGCUUAAUCUCAUUCAUGAUUGGUGGCUUCUCCAUAAUCCUGCCUUUAUUAAUAACUUAUCUAACUCUAAUUGUCGUUUUUUACCUUUACAUUGCAGGCCACAACAUGCAACUCAGGUCUUUGACAUCAUUGAGGACUUUUACAUUGGAGACUUGGAGCAAUAGCUAAUACUAUGUUUGGAUUUCCAUUGCAAACUUAAGUUUCGGUCCAAAAGUUGCCCUUCAUUUUUGCAAGUUAAUGGUGGUUCAUCAGAUUCUAAUAUCGAAGUUCAGAAUGAGAUUGUUCAUUGGCAUAAUAGGAAUUAUAAUCAAUGUGUCAUUUGAAAUGUGAGUGUGUCAUUAAUUUGAAGCAUUAAUGCUGAACUGAUAUUGGAGUGCUAUUAAGAAGCCAAAAUUGGAUUUUGGGCUGCUUAUAAUGUCAAACUUCAAUUUCCCUGGGUGUUUAUUUGAAGUUAUUUUUGCUUUUUUUUGUGUGAAUAAAAUGAGUAUAUUGGUGAUAGAUCAUUUUCCUACUCUGUAGUUUUUAAACUUGAUUGCUCAUUUGGAUGUGCAGCCUUCAAAAGACCAUGAAUGUUAGAAGCAUGAGGCAGAACCAUAAAUGUUGUUAGGAUCAAGGAGGUGAGGGUAAGACUAUAAUUAACUAUGUGUUGUACUUUUUCCACAAGAUCAAGGUGGAGGUGAGAGUAAUUUAGUAUAUCUUUAAGUUCUUGUUUUGCAUCUUUAAUGAAGCUUUUCUGAUUUUUAUUUUUGAUGAGUUGCUUUUGCUCUCAAGUGGGUAAGAUUUUUAUUAUGGAGAAGCAAAGAUGGCUCUGAAGGUGGGCACUUUGAAAAUUGAGUUUUACAUCAUGGAUAUGGUCACUGUGACAGCUGCAGGCAUCAUCAGAGUUAGAGAUGUGAAAACUUCACAAGAUGUUGGAAGAUGAGGCUCAUCAGAGAGAGAAACUUGAAGGAGAAAGUGUAAUAUUACAAUGAAAUCUAGUGGUACUGAAUUAUCAAUUAUUUGGCAUGUGAAGUACAUCUAUGUAUUUACUAUUUUCAUUUUUUAUAUUAAUUUA